rnacentral:sRNA from 1 species
UUUUAGCCCCGAUAGAAGGGAAAAUCCUUUUCCUUUUUUUCUUUAAAAAAGGAAAAGAUUUGGAAUGAUAGCGGGAUUAGCU